AUAUUUUGUAACCACAUUAGACUUCAGUGAUCAUUAGUGUGAACUUCGAGUGUAGGAUUCAAAUCGAGGAAAAUCAGAACCUCAAAAAUUUAUAAACAUAAACCGACAAAAAGACAAUAAAAUACAUAAUUUGACAAAUUUAGUAAUAUAGUUUCUUGACCAUAUCCCUAUUAGCAUAACUUAGAUAAGGAAGACUAAUAAAGCCAUUAAGAUAGAAUUUUACGUACACUUCUUUCA
rnacentral:misc_RNA from 1 species